CCUACCCAUAGGUUGGGGACAACUCCGGGAAACCGGAGCUAAUACCGAAUAAUAUUUCAAGAACGCAUGCUUUUGAAAUCAAAGGAGGCCUCUCUAUAGAAGCUUCUGCCCAUGGAUGGAUCCGCGUCUGAUUAGCUAGUUGGUGGGGUAAUGGCCUACCAAGGCGACGAUCAGUAGCCGGCCUGAGAGGGUGAACGGCCACACUGGGACUGAGACACGGCCCAGACUCCUACGGGAGGCAGCAGUGGGGAAUCUUCCGCAAUGGGCGAAAGCCUGACGGAGCAAUGCCGCGUGAAUGAAGAAGGCCUUCGGGUUGUAAAGUUCUGUUGAGAAGGAAGAAAGAUCUAAGAGCUAAUACCUCUUAAGUUUGACGGUACUUUUCGAGGAAGCCCCGGCUAACUACGUGCCAGCAGCCGCGGUAAUACGUAGGGGGCAAGCGUUGUCCGGAAUCACUGGGCGUAAAGCGCAUGUAGGCGGGAUAUUAAGUCAGGUGUGAAAACUACAGGCUCAACCUGUAGAUUGCAUUUGAAACUGGUAUUCUUGAGUAUUGGAGAGGAAAGUGGAAUUCCUAGUGUAGCGGUGAAAUGCGUAGAUAUUAGGAGGAACACAGUGGCGAAGGCGACUUUCUG
rnacentral:rRNA from 1 species